GCCGGGCAUGGUGGCACACGCCUGUAAUCCCAGCUACUUGGGAGGCUGAGGCAGGAGGAUUGCUUGAACCAGUACCCGGGAGGCAGAGGUUGCAGCGAGCCGAGAUCACGUUACUGCACUCCAGGCUGGCAACAGAGUGAGACUCCGUCUCAGCGAGCCUCAGUCUCGCUCUGUCACCGAGGCUGGAAUGCAGUGGCUCGAUCUCGGCUCACUGCAACCUCCACCUCCGGGGUUCAAGCAAUUCUCCUGCCUCA
ensembl:misc_RNA Metazoa_SRP Metazoan signal recognition particle RNA